GGGGGCGGAUAGGGUACUGGUGUCCCUCCCGGUCUUCAAAACCGUGCGUGAGGCUUUAGGGUCUCAGGUGGGUUCGAUUCCCACACGCUCCC
rnacentral:tRNA from 1 species